rnacentral:rRNA from 1 species
UACGAAGGGGGCAAGCGUUGUUCGGAAUUACUGGGCGUAAAGGGCGCGAGCAGGCGGCCAUUCAAGUCAGAUGUGAAAGCCCCGGGCUCAACCUGGGAAUAGCAUUUGGGACUGGGUGGCUAGUAGUUCGGGAGAGGAGAGUGGAAUUCCCAGUGUAGAGGUGAAAUUCGUAGAUAUUGGGAAGAACACCGGUGGCGAAGGCGGCUCUCUGGACCGACACUGACGCUGAGGCGCGAAAAGCGUGGGGGAGCAAACAGGG